rnacentral:rRNA from 7 species
UUAAAUUGAAGAGUUUGAUCAUGGCUCAGAUUGAACGCUGGCGGCAGGCCUAACACAUGCAAGUCGAACGGUAACAGGAAGCAGCUUGCUGCUUCGCUGACGAGUGGCGGACGGGUGAGUAAUGUCUGGGAAACUGCCUGAUGGAGGGGGAUAACUACUGGAAACGGUGGCUAAUACCGCAUAACGUCGCAAGACCAAAGAGGGGGACCUUCGGGCCUCUUGCCAUCAGAUGUGCCCAGAUGGGAUUAGCUUGUUGGUGAGGUAACGGCUCACCAAGGCGACGAUCCCUAGCUGGUCUGAGAGGAUGACCAGCCACACUGGAACUGAGACACGGUCCAGACUCCUACGGGAGGCAGCAGUGGGGAAUAUUGCACAAUGGGCGCAAGCCUGAUGCAGCCAUGCCGCGUGUAUGAAGAAGGCCUUCGGGUUGUAAAGUACUUUCAGCGGGGAGGAAGGUGUUGUGGUUAAUAACCGCAGCAAUUGACGUUACCCGCAGAAGAAGCACCGGCUAACUCCGUGCCAGCAGCCGCGGUAAUACGGAGGGUGCAAGCGUUAAUCGGAAUUACUGGGCGUAAAGCGCACGCAGGCGGUCUGUCAAGUCGGAUGUGAAAUCCCCGGGCUCAACCUGGGAACUGCAUUCGAAACUGGCAGGCUUGAGUCUUGUAGAGGGGGGUAGAAUUCCAGGUGUAGCGGUGAAAUGCGUAGAGAUCUGGAGGAAUACCGGUGGCGAAGGCGGCCCCCUGGACAAAGACUGACGCUCAGGUGCGAAAGCGUGGGGAGCAAACAGGAUUAGAUACCCUGGUAGUCCACGCCGUAAACGAUGUCUACUUGGAGGUUGUGCCCUUGAGGCGUGGCUUCCGGAGCUAACGCGUUAAGUAGACCGCCUGGGGAGUACGGCCGCAAGGUUAAAACUCAAAUGAAUUGACGGGGGCCCGCACAAGCGGUGGAGCAUGUGGUUUAAUUCGAUGCAACGCGAAGAACCUUACCUGGUCUUGACAUCCACAGAACUUUCCAGAGAUGGAUUGGUGCCUUCGGGAACUGUGAGACAGGUGCUGCAUGGCUGUCGUCAGCUCGUGUUGUGAAAUGUUGGGUUAAGUCCCGCAACGAGCGCAACCCUUAUCCUUUGUUGCCAGCGGUCCGGCCGGGAACUCAAAGGAGACUGCCAGUGAUAAACUGGAGGAAGGUGGGGAUGACGUCAAGUCAUCAUGGCCCUUACGACCAGGGCUACACACGUGCUACAAUGGCGCAUACAAAGAGAAGCGACCUCGCGAGAGCAAGCGGACCUCAUAAAGUGCGUCGUAGUCCGGAUUGGAGUCUGCAACUCGACUCCAUGAAGUCGGAAUCGCUAGUAAUCGUGGAUCAGAAUGCCACGGUGAAUACGUUCCCGGGCCUUGUACACACCGCCCGUCACACCAUGGGAGUGGGUUGCAAAAGAAGUAGGUAGCUUAACCUUCGGGAGGGCGCUUACCACUUUGUGAUUCAUGACUGGGGUGAAGUCGUAACAAGGUAACCGUAGGGGAACCUGCGGUUGGAUCACCUCCUUACCUUAAAGAA